rnacentral:lncRNA from 1 species
GCAAUUGAGUCCACUGAAAAGAAUAGCCAUGAGAUAGUAAAUAGCAACGGAAACAAGCUUGUAGUCCAAUCAUAAGCAUAACAGAACAGGUAUAACGUAUGUGAAUGGACAGAUUCAGAUUACCAUGCAAAUAAUCUAAUUUACUCACCACUGCCUCGUCAAAUAUUUGAAACAAAGAUGGACAUGUUUUAAGGCAUUCAGUCGUCUCACAUUGUUCCCACAAACCAUGAAUAAAUUGCGAGUAAUAAAUCAAAUGGUAAACAUAAUCGUCACAAGUAGGUAUUUGAAAAGAUUCACAUGGUUCAC